rnacentral:lncRNA from 1 species
GCAAACAGACUGCAGCCCGAGCACCAGGUGUGCUGGGAGUGAGCUCACCAGGAGCAGGGUGGUGACAGUGGAAGGCUCUCCUGAGUGCCUCCCUGGCCUCAUUAGCACCUCACUCACUGCUGGGGCCCAGAGUACUAAGAUGGAAAAGCACCGCACAGAGCAGAGAAAACAGCAUCAUCAUAGAGGCAUACAACUAGCAGUUGCUUCUCCAGGAAUGAGGCAGAAGGCCAAAAUUCUAAGUACUAAAGUUUUAAAACCACACAGAUAUAAAAAUAUACAUGUCCUUGGUGUCUGUAUGUUCCUGCAUGAUCUACUUCAGCAUAAGGAUUGUUUCAGCCUCGUAGUGUCAGUACUGCCGCCAGGCUGCCUUACCUGUGAGCUCAGCUAUCCUGAAACUCGAGAAUAUUUUUUCCUAAAUACACACCUUACCAAAAAAGCUAACUCAAAAACUGAUUUGCAAUAUGAAAUGCAGAAAACCUUUGCUUUGAUUCCUCCCUUCCUUUCAGUAACUUCCCCUGGUUUGGAUGCCCACCCUGCAUUCUCAGGGGACACCGAUCGUAAUAAAUUUUUGAAGAGGAAUGUGGUUAUUUGGGGAACACAGAAGUAA